UGCAUACAUGUGUCUG
rnacentral:rRNA from 1 species